rnacentral:rRNA from 1 species
UACGUAGGGUGCAAGCGUUAAUCGGAAUUACUGGGCGUAAAGCGUGCGUAGACGGUUACGUAAGUCGGGUGUGAAAGCCCCGGGCUCAACCUGGGAAUUGCAUUCGAGACUGCAUAGCUAGGGUGCGGAAGAGGGAAGCGGAAUUUCCGGUGUAGCGGUGAAAUGCGUAGAUAUCGGAAGGAACACCAGCGGCGAAAGCGGCUUCCUGGUCCAGCACCGACGUUCAGGCACGAAAGCGUGGGGAGCAAACAGG